UUGANCNCAUGNUCAAGGAUGAAGACGGUUUCNGCUGUCACUUACAGAUGGACCCGCGGCGCAUUAGCUAGUUGGUGGGGUAAUGGCUCACCAAGGCGACGAUGCGUANCCNACCUGAGAGGGUGAUCGGCCACACUGGGACUGAGACACGGCCCAGACUCCUACGGGGAGGCAGCAGUAGGGAAUCUUCCGCAAUGGACGAAAGUCUGACGGAGCAACGCCGCGUGAGUGAUGAAGGUUUUCGGAUCGUAAAGCUCUGUUGUUAGGGAAGAACAAGUGCGAGAGUAACUGCUCGCACCUUGACGGUACCUAACCAGAAAGCCACGGCUAACUACGUGCCAGCAGCCGCGGUAAUACGUAGGUGGCAAGCGUUGUCCGGAAUUAUUGGGCGUAAAGGGCUCGCANGCGGUUUCUUAAGUCUGAUGUGAAAGCCCCCGGCUCAACCGGGGAGGGUCAUUGGAAACUGGGAAACUUGAGUGCAGAAGAGGAGAGUGNAAUNCCACGUGUAGCGGUGAAAUGCGUAGAGAUGUGGAGGAACACCAGUGGCGA
rnacentral:rRNA from 1 species